UUGGUAGUUGCGGAACCGGCAGCCGCUGGCGUGGUUGUGGCCGCCGCCGCCGAAUCGUUCGGCAAGUUGGCGGGCGUUCAGCUUCCCCCCUUCAAUC
rnacentral:tRNA from 1 species